rnacentral:lncRNA from 12 species
GAAGACGGGGAGAAAGAAAUAAAGGAACAAAAGGCCUCCAAGGGGGAGGGGCCCGCGAGGAGCCGGGCUGAGGCCGGGGCGAGUGUCCCCAGGGCAGGAGAGCCCCGUCCCGGAGGAGCAGGAGCUGCACCGACCUUCCCGGGCAGAAAGGGGCUCGCAGGGAGUUGGAGCAGGACCCAGGAGGGCGAGGAUGCCCUCGGGCUCCCCGGGACAGUAACAGCAACUGCACGCCCAGGAGAGUGCGCCGAGCUCCCUAAGGGCUGCAGCGCGCACGGCGGGACCCGGCGGGGCCCGGAGCAGCUCAGGGGGCUCGGGGGCGGCUCCGCGGAGGGGGCUGCGCGGCCCCGGGAGCAGCUCGGAGGGGCUCGGGCAGAGGAAGAGGCUCCGUGCGGAGGGGCCUGCGCGGUUCCAGGAGCAGCUCGGAGGGGCUCGGGCGGCGGCACAGCAGAGGGAGUUGCGCGGCCCGGGAGCGCGAAUCCACCAGCGCAGGCUCCGGAGCACAGGGCGCCGGGACACAGCCCAGGAUCCCGCCUCCCCCGGGACAGGCAGAGGCCGGGAGGGCCCAGGACAGCGAGGACGCUCCUGCCCCAGCUGAGCCGAUCAGCGGCCCCGCCCCGGAGCCUCCAGGCCCUGCAGACCGAGUUCCUGCCGGAGCUGAAUCCAGGUUUCCAGAGCUGGCCCGCCACUGGGGCUGUUCCUCCUGGGGCCUCACGGGGUAAACAACCCCCACUGAGCCCUGCACCAGGCAGGGGCACAGCAGCUCCCCGAACUGCUAACACCCGAAAACCAGCACAACAGGCCCCUCCCCCAGAACACCAGCUAGACGGACAACUUCCAGGAGAAGCCAAGGGACUUAAAGUACACAGAAUCAGAAGAUACUCCCCCGUGGUUCUUUUUUUUUUUUAUUUUUUGCUUUUUGAUUUGUUUCCUUACCCCACACGCUUUUUUUCUCCUUUCUUUUUCUUUCUCUUUUUCGUCUUUUUUUUUUCUUUUUUUUUCUUCCCUUUGUUUUCUCUUUCUCUUUUCUUUCCUUCUUUCUCUCCUCUCUUUUUCUCUUUUUCCCAAUACAACUUGCUUUUG